rnacentral:lncRNA from 1 species
AUGUGUGAAGCUUUGUCCUGGGAACCUGUGGGGCUCAGGUUCCCCAUUCAAAACAGAAGGAGUCCAGCUGAAUGGGAUCCUGGCUCUUUGCCGGGUGUGAAUGUGACGUCCGUCCCUGUGGCCCCACCUGAGCCCAGCAUCCAGCCGAUAACCCCAGGACAACUCAGCGAACCACUAGCAAGUCCCAGACUCCUAUUACUUGGCGUAGAAAUAAAUGAAGACCAACCGAAUGAGAAAAGCAAGACUCUUCACGGGGAGCUUGCCGGAGCAUGGGACUCGGCCACAGGACUUGGCCACGGGACUCAGCUACCACCACGUGCUUUCGGGAGGGACCGAGACACUUUCUCCUGGCUCUGGGGGCACCCCGACAGAGGCCGUUGGCGCAUGGAAGCUGGGGUGGCUGAGCGGAAGUGGGGCACCCAUAACUGGCGUCAGACUGAUCCAGUCUUCCGUGGUGAGCACCCCUCCAUGGCAGCGAAAGGAUGGCGAGCAGUGGCAGAGGGAACAUCCCCGGGAAAGCAGAGCUGGAGCUUUAACACUGAGUAUGCUACGGAUUUAUAGACAUAACCCACACACAAUCCAAAGCUUUGACUUUUCUUAGAAGAACUUCUUUCUUAGAAGAAACCCCUUCUGUUAAUGGAUCCUGAGUCCAAAAAGUUUUAGAACCACUCUUAAGAAAUCAAGCAGAGAGACAAAUAGGUCAUGGGUUGGUGGCCAGAUCUAUCGUGAGGUGCUGUUUGUCAUUUCUGUAAAAAUAUAAUAUUUGAACUGCAGUGUGGUCAUUUUUGGUCUAGAAUAUCUUGUUGACUUAGUUCCUUCAACCCAAAUAAAAGAAAUCCCAAAUAUUUGAG